GAACCUGACAAGGCAUAGCUGUGCAUUAAUUCAAUACAUCUGCACCCGUCUCCUUCCCUUAGUUAGCUUCCCGUGCCUUUUUAUCCAUUUCAGUUCUCAGAUGUGAGCUGUCACAAAUGAUCUUGCUUGGAAUGGGAGACAAUGGGAACCAUGUCUACGGGAUAUGACAUCUGGGAAAUGCUGGAACGAAAUUUGCAUCCCACAUGUUAUACAAGCAUCAUAUAUACCAGAAGAGAUGUGUUUAUCUUGAUGUUCGUUUCGUAGAAACAGAUAUCGAACAUAUGAGUGCAGAGGAGACGAACUGAUGAUUUCGAGCUAGGCUAGCAUUUUCAAUGUCCUGUUAAUAGUCAUAGAUUUGAACUCAUAUCCUCACUUUGUGACAU
rnacentral:lncRNA from 1 species